CUGGGUAGAAAUAGCAGAGCCUUUUGAUCUGUCUGCAAAUGGAACAAACCGUGUAGGGGAUUUAUGAAAUGGUUUAAUCCUACGUAGACAGAAAAAUAACAUCCUUCUGACAUCUAGAGUAUGGAGUGCAAUCUGCACACUGGACUUGAUGGUUUCUGAACAAAAACUACCAGCUGCACCGGAUAUUCCAGAACGAGCUGAAGUAGGGCAGACUGUGGGAGAGUGUCUUGGAGUUCACACCAGUGACUAAAUCUUCUCCACUUCUAAAGCCACAGCACAGUCUACCAAGCGGUGUCUAUAGAUUUCCUCUCAGCAGAGGCAGAGUCCUAUCUGUGUGUGAGCCGGAGUGAGACUUUCCACAAUCAACAGCCUGCUACCCAAGGUGCAGGGGCGUGUAUGUGACAGCUCCACCACUCAGUGCUCUGGAGAACAGGGCAACUGAAAUUAGUUGGUCACCCAGAAGUAACCUCUUCAGAACCCAGUGAAUUACAAUGCCACAGUUCAAGUGGAUGUAUUUCCAUCUGGAAAACUACUAGUAACUGAAGAGUAACAGUGACACUGAAGAGUUCCAGCCGCUAACAAUGUUCUUCUGUCCGAAAGUCCACCCACCUGACCUGAAUUGCAACAGAGACACUGCCACAACCAAGAAAGGAGGAAAUGCUGCAUCUGAGCAGAGGACCCAGAACAAUGAAACUCAUUAAGCAUUGUUUUAAAAACUCAGGAUAGGUUUUAAACUGCCA